GCCCAGGGCUCGCGCGGGAAGGGCCAGGGUUCGGGGUUGUCUGCUCUGUCUCAGCCCCGCCCGCCUGCUGGCCCGCCACGAUCGCGCCGACUUCUGCCCCCAGGCGGCCUUAGUGCGGUGCCACCCAUAGUGGCCUAAGGCCUGGCCGCAGCGGUCGGUCCCGCCGCCCUCAGUGGAGGUCCGCACUAGCGGCCUCGCCGCCGCUCCCAGCCUGCGCGCUCCUUCGGUGCAGGCUGCGCUGAUUUCUGGCCUGCGGAAGCGGCGGGGUUACCUGCACCAAGCCUGAGUCUUCCAGAGACCCCAUCCAUAGCCGACAUGGUGCUGUCCCCGGGAGGCUGAAGGGGUCUUAAGAGGGCGCCCCGUCCCCGCCCACCUGCCCGCAAAGGCCGGCUGAGUCUGCAUGGCUCCUCCUAAACUCUGGAAAGGAGUCGGGAAGACGCGCCAUCCUGUCGCCCAACCUGGGUUUUUACAAUUCUCAUCCGGCUCAAGUGCAAGGCUGCUAUGGAAUAGCAUCAGAGGGGAACUUCUGGUGGCCUCAGGUUCCGUUCUGUUCCCCUAGGAACAGGAUUUUCUUCGCUGCCGUCUCUCUGGGGUAGUUUCGAUUCACUCCGGAUUCUGAACUCCCCAGCCUAACCUGCUUUUCAGCAGUCACGUUCAUGGCCCUGGGAGGAGAGGCGCCUGGGAACCCACGGCCACUUGGCUGGGGGUUGUGCGUUGGGAAGGUGUAGUCUGUUUUAAGAAUACAAGAAACCUCACCAUAGUCCCUCAGCUCCCUCCAGUCAGGCACCGCGAAGGUGGAAACCUUCCGCCUUCACUUCACUGAGCCACACAAGUAUUUCUAUGAGGGCUGUGAUAUCAAAAAACCGGGGAAGCACUGCUCUAAAUAACCACAGGCCAUCUGCUGCGAUCAUUCAACCUCGCCCAAGAAGUCCUUCCUAAUGGUAAACGGAGGCCCAAAGGGAUGAAGCUUCUUGCUCAAAGUCACGCAGCUACCAGUGGAAGGAGUAUGGGGUAGGAGUUGGAAGACAUUUUGGGGAGCACACGCAAAAAAAUCCUGGCUGGGACAUUUUGGCUGACUUAUCCUCUCUCAGCCUCAGUUUCUGAUGAGUCUCCUUGCCCCAUGAAGUGAAAUCAUACAUGUAAAGCACUUAGCACAGCACCUGUUACAUGUAACCAAUAACGGUUGCUGUUGCUGCUACCGGACAUAGAACUCAGGUUUCCUUACCCUGACCUCUGUCACUAUCUUCAUCACAUCCUCCUGGUGCCUCAGAGGACCCUUCACUAUUAUUUACUGAGAUGAAACCAACAACUUUAAAACAACCAGUAUACACAGGCAUACUGGAUGCUGGAAUGAAAGUAUGGUUUUUCUUUCUC